GAAUCAUCGCUUGCCCGCUCCCACCUGGUUCCACGUCGGAGGCUGGCUCUUGGUUACCUAGGAGAUGCUUCGCAAUGCAAAUCCAGGGCCGCGGUGCAGACCGCCAGGCUCCUGUGCUGUGUGGGAGGAGUCAAUCUGGUUGUGUGUUGACAUCAGCGAAGUCAGCUCUGAGGAUUUGGCUGUGGUGGACCAGGCCGAGGACUUAGCUUUCAUGGUAGUGGAGAAGAGCUCAGAGCCAGUUGAUAAUACUGUAAACAAGCAAGCACCACUGAUGUUGGGGACCAUUGGCUGUAUGGUGUCCUGAACAUGUCAGGCUAGUACAAAGAUGAGCUGGUCGUGUAGUCACAGUAGGAAGGACCUCUGACCUGUUUGACACUCGGGGAUUGGAGGUAUGUGGGCAUUUAGUGAUUCCAGGAUCAUCCUUGGCUCCUAGCAGGGAUACAGGGCACAUCUACUUAAACAGCAGAUCAGGUCUCCUGUUAUGGCCGCAGAUAUUGCCAGAGCAGCUCGGUGCAGACUCACGACUAUUGUACAUUAUAAACUGUGGGGUUUUUUUUAUUGUACACACAGAGUGAG
rnacentral:lncRNA from 1 species